GUCCACACUUCUGUAUUUUAUAAGUUUUAAUUCAUUAAGGUCAAUUCAAGAAGCUUUGCAGCUUUGCAUGUCUGGCCACCCAGAGGACAGUUUUCAGGUCUUGAAGAGAUCUGUUGGGAUAAACACUUUCAAGAUAAUAGCACUGGGGCAGGACAAAAGCAGCAUCAUUGUGAAAAUGCCUUCAACCUGAAACAUUCUGAUGGAACUAUGCAUGAACAAUGGACACAAACUGCCUAAUGUGGGUGGAAGAGUAACUGGUCGACCACAGCGUUCUCUCUACUCACAGUGAGAAAUACACUGUCCCUCUGAGAAGUCCAUCAGUUAAUAUUAACAAGGAGAAAGAGAAGGAAUAACUUGGCAGGAAGCUCUGAAUCUCCCCCUGACUCGAUUCAGGAGAUCAUCAAGGAAGGAGUCUAGCUGUAAAGUAUACCUCCCUUCCUCUGAUGAGAGUGACGACCGGGGUGCCUGGAAUCAGAGGGCAGCCUGCUCUCCUUUGGCAAACAAACACCCACUCUGAUUUGCUCUUUGGAGCCAGAUGGCAUGCAGUACUUCUGAAGUUAAAUCCAGCCUUAUGAUGACAAUGGCCAUUGCCAACAAGGAACCACUUGGACUGUGAUGCCAAACUCUUCAGCUCUUGAGUCAAGAUCUCGCUCUGUCACCCAGGCUGGAGUGCAGUGGUGGGAUCAUAGCUCACUGCCACCUUGAAUUCCUGAACUCAAGCGAUCCUCCCACUUUAGCCUCCUGAGUAGCUGGGACUACAGGUGCACACCAACACUAUGCCUGGAUAAUUAAAAAAAAAAUUGUAGACACGGAAGUCUUGCUGUGUUGCUCAGGCUGGUGUUGAACUUCUGAUCUCAAGUGAUCCUCCUGUCCUGGAAUUCCAAAAUGUACUAUGAAGACUGAGUGUCUGAGAAAGUGUGCUUCCUGGACAAGCAUUAGCCCCCCUCCAGUGAGCCUCCCUCAUGCACCCUGCAGAUUCUGGGCUCCCUCCAAUUCCUCAAAGCCUCAAGAGGUGGAUCCCUCCUUUCUACGGAGAGCCAGCUUUCCCACUGCAUGGGGAGGCACUGCAGAGUUCUCAAUCUUGCAACAAUCACAGAGCCCACCUCUGGAGGUGCCCCACCUUUUCUCCUGGCUACGAAGCCAAAACUAAAGUUAAGUCACAGCUUACUUGAGAUGUGCUAAGCCUGUUGAAGAUGAUAUGCCAAGGAGCCUGUAAGAAAACCAUUUGUGCUGGAGGAAACCAUGGCAGUUCCCAUGGACUGGAUUUUGAGGGUGCCUGAUUAAGGUGUCCAGACAUAAGAUGGGGAUGCUCUCAAUAUAUGGGAUUUAACACCAGGGAAGAACAAAAACUUCUUGAGAGAAUGGCUCCUAGAAGUCUGGAAAACAAGCUGGCCCCCAUGCUGGGUGAAGAUCCAAAGUUCAAUGGCUAUGGCAGAUGGUAGAAGAAAGGACUAAAAGGCUCAGCACAGAGGCUAUGCUGGAGAGGGUGUAAGAUUUGAGGCCAGGGGACCCACCAGAAGAUUAUGUUCCUCAGCAAGGCCCAGACGACUCAGCAUUCCCAGGGCUGCUGCACAUGUGCUGAUGAGACAGGCACCUGCAUCUUUAACUUUUGUGAAAGUUCUGUUCUGCAGUGGGGAUGAUGGUGUCUCAAAGCAAUAGACAUCAGGCAGUAACACGUAACCACCAGCAUCCAGGAGCAAUUUGUAAUGAUUGAGAAGAUCACAGUGACGAGGAAGAUGGACAGACCCACGGAGAAUUGUGGAGAUCAUUUAUACAAUGAAAUAGGAACAGUUUUCUAAGGGAUGAAAUAGGUAGGCAGUGAAUAAUGGUACUGCCUAAUACAUGUAAUCAAAAUAACAAAUUCCACACAACUAGGAUUAUUUCUGUGAUCUACAGUCUGUCCAUUCUGAGUGGGACCUGGAGCAGGAAGAGGGUCUGCCCCAGGUGCAGGCUGCGUUCAGGCAUCCCUGCCAUGUGCACCAUGUGUCGGCGGUGGAAAGUGAUGCAGAGAUGAGGUCAUGACAGUGGGGGAUUCUCAGUGCAGAGCCCUGGGGUUCUGCAACAAAGAGAAGCCAUUUGCAAUGAAGAACUGUGCAUCAUCAUCCCACUGUACCCUGGGAGGGAAGGAGUGUUUGAGAAUAAGUGACCAUGCAUCCAGGCCUUCUAUUAUGAGCUGGAUUCUGCCAGAGUCAUCAGUUCAUCAAGCCAGACAAGCAUCAUAAUAAUCUAUCACAAAAUGGAAAUGGAACAGCUGAGAUUGAGCCCAAGCAGAACCAGAGGGCAUGAGUACGCGGCAUGAUAGCCUUGUGUCCCUCGCUCAAUUCACACUGAUGGCCCUAUGGGGGUCCCAUAAAACAAACUGAGGGAAGGAAAAUAAAUUACCAAAGUUGAUCAACAGGUAGAUUAUCUCAGUAUAGCAGUCCAAGCUAAAAUGGACAGCUGGCUGCAUUGUAGCCAUAGUCAAGGGUAGCCUUGAAAGAUAGUGGUGACAUAAGACCUUCCCAAUGAGACGGCUUUACGUGAUGCACUUGAUCAUGCACUUUAUGUAGCAGGGAGAAUGGCCUGAGCAAAGACUAUGUAAAUAUUCAUGGGCAGUGACUACAAAUAACACUGGACUGGCUGGGCAGGGGCUGAAUGGCCUGGCCUAGCUAGGCAGGGUCUGUUAUAGAAAAAGACUGGAAGAUCACAAAGAGGCAAGAAGAAAAGUGAAGAUAUCCCUUACAGCCACACUCCGGAAUAAUCUAUAAGAAGGGAAAAGGUGAAAUUGACUCAAGAAAUGCUGAUGGAUGCAGGACCUAAGGUGGUGGGGGCUGGGAAGAUCAGUCACAAAAUCUCAGAUAAUAGAACCCAAAAGACAUCACUAUUUGAAGGAGACCAAGAAAUAGCAAGAACACUCACACCGGAAAAAAAUCAAUCACUGUAAUAUGUCUAUUGCAAUAAAAUUGAACUACCUUACAAAUGUUUUGAGAAUUAAGGGUAAAUUCUAAAAUACUUCUACGUGUUAGAAAGAAUAAAUGGAAACCAGGAACAGAAAACCAAACACUGCAUAUUCUCACUCAUAAGUGGGAGUUGAACAAUGAAAACACAUGGACACAGGGAGGGGAACAUCACACACCAGUGCCUGUCAGAGGCGGUGGGGAGAGGGGAGGGAGAGCAUUAGGACAAAUACCUAGUGCAUGCGGGGCUUAAAACCUAGAUGAUGGGUUGAUAGGCACAACAAACCACCAAGACACAUGUAUACCUAUGUAAUAAACCUGCACAUUCAGAACAGGUAUCCCAGAACUUAAAGUAAAAUGAAAUAAUAAAUA
rnacentral:lncRNA from 10 species